AUGAAUAGUCACUCGAUCAUGGCGGUGCCGUCGUUGUUCGCCGCCUUCGACAAGGACGGAGACGGCAAGGUGUCCACGUCCGAGCUGCGGCGCUGCAUGGAGGCGACGCUGGGCGAGUACGUGUCUGAGGAGGAGGCGGUGGCGGCCCUCGCGGUGGUGGACACCGACGGUGACGGGCUGCUAAACCAAGAAGAGUUCUCGAGGCUGGCCGCCGGCGCCCAUGAAGAGGACGAUGCCGACGUGAAGCGAAGGUACCUGAGGGAGGCGUUCGGGAUCUACGCAUCGUCGUCCGUGGAGGACACGGCGACGACGACGAUGAUUACACCGGCGAGCCUGAGGCGGACGCUGAGCAGACUAGGGUCGCACGAGCUGGGCGUGGAGGAGUGCAGGGCAAUGAUCUGCAGGUUCGAUCUCGACGGCGACGGCAAGCUCUCGUUUGACGAGUUCCAGGUCAUGAUGAUGGCCUGA
rnacentral:rRNA from 1 species